ACAGAGCUGCCAGGCCCGACGCGCCGUGGCAGCCGACUCCAUUCGUCGGAACCAGCCGUGCUUGAAUCUGUCUGGGCGCGCCAUGUUCGCGCGUGGGUCCCGGAGGCGCCGCUCUGGGCGUGCGCCUCCAGAGGCAGAGGACCCUGCCCGCGGCCAGCCUUGCAAUUCCUGCAGGGAACAGUGCCCAGGCUUCCUGCUGCAUGGCUGGAGAAAGAUCUGCCAGCACUGCAAAUGCCCGCGGGAGGAGCAUGCUGUACGCACUGUACCUGUGGACCUAGAACGCAUCAUGUGCCGGCUCAUCUCAGACUUCCAGCGCCACUCCAUUUCCGAUGACGACUCAGGCUGUGCCUCAGAGGAGUAUGCCUGGGUACCCCCUGGCCUUAAGCCGGAGCAGCACAGACAUCCCCAGUGACCUGAGUUGGGCCAAGAUACAAUGGGAGCAAAGGAAGCAGACUGGGCAGGAAUGCUCAACUCUUUUGAGAAGUUUUGCUCUAAAGGGAAGAAGAGAGCAGAGUUUGCCCUGCGGUCCCUUCAACCAUUCAGGAGUUUCGAGAAAGAGAUUGGCUUCAGGACAAGUGCCCUUCAGAUGGCUUUAAUUUUCCCAUAGAACCAGGGACCCAUGACCUCGCUGUAUCCUAGCUCAUCCCUAACUGUAAUUGUUUUCUCUCACCCUUUCACGUCCUCCCAGGUUUACCAGUUUUUCAGUUGCCUUCCAGAGGACAAGGUCCCCUAUGUCAACAGUCCUGGGGAGAAAUACAGAAUAAAGCAGCUACUGCACCAGCUACCCCCACACGACAGUGAGGCACAGUACUGCACGGCCCUGGAAGAGGAGGAGAAGAAAGAGUUGCGAGCCUUCAGCCAGCAGAGGAAGCGGGAGAAUCUGGGACGAGCCACCGUUCGAAUCUUCCCAGUGACCAUUACUGGGGCCAUCUGCGAGGAGUGUGGCAAGCAGAUCGGCGGUGGGGACAUUGCAGUCUUUGCCAGCCGCGCAGGCCUUGGUGCCUGUUGGCACCCUCAGUGCUUUGUGUGUACCACGUGCCAGGAGCUGCUGGUUGACCUCAUCUACUUCUAUCAUGCUGGCAAGGUCUACUGUGGGCGCCACCAUGCUGAGUGUCUGCGUCCUCGCUGCCAAGCGUGUGAUGAGAUCAUCUUCUCCCCUGAAUGUACGGAGGCGGAGGGGCGACACUGGCACAUGGGUCACUUCUGCUGUUUCGAGUGUGAAGCUUCGUUAGGAGGGCAGCGCUAUGUCAUGCGUCAGAGCCGCCCCCACUGCUGUGCCUGCUAUGAGGCCCGCCAUGCGGAAUACUGUGAUGGCUGUGGGGAACACAUCGGCCUGGACCAGGGCCAGAUGGCUUAUGAGGGCCAACACUGGCACGCUUCAGAUCGCUGCUUCUGCUGUAGCCGUUGCAGUCGACCUCUUCUGGGCCGCCCUUUCCUGCCACGCCGAGGCCUGAUCUUCUGCUCACGAGCCUGCAGCCUUGGGUCUGAGACCACUGCUCCAGGGCCCGGCCGACGCAGCUGGAGCGCCGGCACCGUCACCACACCGCUCACAACUUCUACAGCUUCUUUCUCAGCUACGGAGGGGACAUCAGAGACAGCCAGCAAAGGCACCUGUACCAAGGCAGAGCCUGCUGCAGGCCCUGAAGAGCCCUCCCACUUUCUGAGAGGGGCCCCCCACCGCCAUUCUAUGCCUGAACUGGGACUCCGCAGUGCUCCUGAGCCACCCACAGAAUCCCCUGGCCAUCCUGCCCCGCAUCCAGAUGAUAAUGCCUUUGGUCGCCAAAGUACACCUCGUGUCAGCUUCCGAGACCCUCUGGUGUCUGAAGGAGGUCCACGAAGGACCCUUAGUGCACCUCCAGCCCAGCGCCGUAGACCACGAAGUCCCCCACCCAGGACCCCCAGCUGCCACCACCACCACCAUCAUCGCCGCCGGCGCCAGCGGCACCGCCGCCGAGGGAGCCACCAUCACCACCACCAUCCUGGCAGACAUGGCCACCAUCGCUGUGACUUGGGAUCAGGUUCAGAUUCAGGAUCUUGCUCCAGCUCACCCUCCAGCCCCAGUUCAGAGUCUUCUGAGGAUGAUGGCUUCUUCCUGGGGGAACGUAUCCCACUGCCCCCUCACCUGUGCAGGCCCAGGACCACUCAGGACACCUCAACCGAAACCUUUAACUCCCCAGCCCAGCCACUUGUCCAGGAGUCUCACCCCGUGAUGCCUCGCCAGACCCGGGACAAGAACUGCAUCGUGGCUUAAAGGAAGGCAACUUUAGAAGGAAUUCUACCUUUCUAAAGUCAGUGUAAAUGAUGAUUGUCCUAAACUAAGUCAUGGUCCCCUUCUGCACUCCAUCUUGUUUGUAUUAGCGAAGCAAUGUAAUAGUUGUUAAAGAAACAGGCCUGGCUUCUUGGAUCCAAUGGUUUUGCCUCAAUUUCCGAUGCUAACAUCAAAAAAAGUUAACUUAUUCAUUAUAGACUUAAACAUUAUUUUUAUUGUUUAUUUAGCCCUUCACAGCUCACCCCACACAGAGAAAAAGGUUAUUUGUAGUGGGUCACUCAUUUUGUAGCUUAUGUGGGGAUAUGGUUCAAGCAGAACUGAUGUCGGCUGCUGGUACUGCAGAGCAAAGGGGAAUCUAGGCACACCCAUAAAGGUGGCCACACCCAGAUGGGUUGAUUGGCAGGCUGGAAGACAAAACUCCCAAUAAAGGCACUUUUACAGGGAUGUAGCUCAGUGGAGAAUACUUGCCUAGUAUGCACACGGCUCUAGGUUCAAUCUCUUGUACCAUAAGCACUUUCAAUGGGGUCAGAGAAUUGGCUGGAGUGUUGUGGAAACCGGAGAAGGAAUUGUUUUAGAGACAGGAUCUCACUGUGUAGCCCUGGCCUCAAACUCACAGGGAUCCACCUGCCUCUGCCUCCUGAGAGCUUGGAGGAAAGGCGAGCACCACCACCGCCCGACAGGAGGAAAGUUUUUGAUGGAGGAGCUAUUGACAGGUAGCAGAGACAGCUGAAAGACGAUCACGGGCCAUCAGUGGGGUCUGCAGGAGGAAGAAAGAAAGCAUCGAUGAAUCUAGAGGCCUAUUUAUACAGACAGGAAUGCUGACACAUGGCAUUUCAUGACACAAAAGACAUUAAGAAUCAAUAAGGGACACAGUUGGCAGUCAUAUCUUCCCCUAGGAGGUCCUUUUCCUUUUUCUUCCUUUUUUUUCCCUUAAUUUUUUUUUUUUUAAAAACAAAAAAACCAAAAACAACAACAAAAAAACAGGUUCUAACUAUGUAUACCUCUGGCUGUCCUGGAACUUACUAUAUUGACCAAGCUGGCUUUGAACUCACAGAGAUCUGCCUCCAGGGUGCUGGGAUUAAAGGUGUUUGCUCCCAC